rnacentral:rRNA from 1 species
GGGGAAUGUUGCACAAUGGGCGCAAGCCUGAUGCAGCGACGCCGCGCGAGGGAUGACGGCCUUCGGGUUGUAAACCUCUGUUAGCAUCGAAGAAGCGAAAGUGACGGUAGGUGCAGAGAAAGCGCCGGCUAACUACGUGCCAGCAGCCGCGGUAAUACGUAGGGCGCGAGCGUUGUCCGGAAUUAUUGGGCGUAAAGAGCUUGUAGGCGGUUGGUCGCGUCUGCUGUGAAAGGCCGGGGCUUAACUCCGGUUUUGCAGUGGGUACGGGCUAACUAGGGUGCAGUAGGGGAGACUGGAAUUCCUGGUGUAGCGGUGGAAUGCACAGAUAUCAGGAGGAACACCGAUGGCGAAGGCAGGUCUCUGGGCUGUAACUGACGCUGAGAAGCGAAAGCAUGGGGAGCGAAC